rnacentral:rRNA from 4 species
CUGAGAGGGUGAUCGGCCACACUGGAACUGAGACACGGUCCAGACUCCUACGGGAGGCAGCAGUAGGGAAUCAUCCGCAAUGGGCGAAAGCCUGACGGUGCAACGCCGCGUGAACGAUGAAGGUUUUCGGAUCGUAAAGUUCUGUUAUGAGGGAAGAACAAGUGCCGUUCGAAUAGGGCGGCACCUUGACGGUACCUCACGAGAAAGCCCCGGCUAACUACGUGCCAGCAGCCGCGGUAAUACGUAGGGGGCAAGCGUUGUCCGGAAUUAUUGGGCGUAAAGCGCGCGCAGGCGGUCUCUUAAGUCUGAUGUGAAAGCCCACGGCUCAACCGUGGAGGGUCAUUGGAAACUGGGAGACUUGAGUGUAGGAGAGGAAAGUGGAAUUCCACGUGUAGCGGUGAAAUGCGUA